rnacentral:rRNA from 1 species
UACAGAGGGGGCAAGCGUUGUCCGGAUUUACUGGGCGUACAGCGCGCGCAGGCGGUUGCGUAUGUGAGCGGUGACAUCCGCGGGCUCAACCCGCGGCGGCCCGCUUACACAGCGCGACUGGAGGCAGGGAGAGGGAUGUGGAAUACCCGGUGGAGCGGUGAAAUGCGUAGAGAUCGGGUGGAACACCAGCGGCGAAGGCGGCAUCCUGGCCCUGUACUGACGCUGAGGAGCGAAAGCUAGGGGAGCAAACAGG